CCAGCUCCUAGAAGGGUUGCAAGUGUGGCUGCUGUGUCAUUUCUGCAUCAGGAUGUGGCAGAGAAGAGAGAGACAAA
rnacentral:snoRNA from 1 species